rnacentral:rRNA from 1 species
UACAGGGGGGGCAAGCGUUGUUCGGAAUUACUGGGCGUAAAGGGUUCGUAGGUGGCCAACUUAGUCAGACGUGAAAUCCCUCAGCUUAACUGGGGAACUGCGUCUGAUACUGGAUGGCUCGAGUGCAGGAGAGGAACGCGGAAUUCCAGGUGUAGCGGUGAAAUGCGUAGAUAUCGGAAGGAACAUCAGUGGCGAAAGCGGCUUCCUGGACCAGUACCGACGUUCAGGCACGAAAGCGUGGGGAGCAAACAGG